rnacentral:misc_RNA from 1 species
AAAGUGCGAUAAGCACUGUGACCUGCAGAAUUCAGCGAAUCAGCAGAUUUCUCAACGCAAAAGGUGCUAGGUAGACUUGUCUGCCUGGCAGGCACAUUUCAACGUCGAUAAAAUAUGCAGCCAUGAGAAUCUAAGGAUCUUCGAUCCAGCACUUCACUUGGCUUGCAUUUUUGUCACUCGCGGCAACGCGACGUGAUGGAUGACCUGCUACGUAAAUUGGCGGGUGGAUAUAACCCAGCGUUACUUCAACGUGAUUAACGCAGAUGGGCAACAACCCUUAACGACUUGAAUUGUGUCAGGCUACCCGCUGAAUUUAA